CUCAUCGUUCUGCCGUUUGCAAUAUCCCUUACCCUAAUUAUAUUAGACCCGUGCCCUCUCGUGAUUUUGAAUGCAGCAAAGUGAUCUUUAAAAAGAAAUAUGCUAGUUCCAUCUUUUUCCUGCGUCGCCGUCAUCAAAUUCAAUCUCAUGCGUGAGAUUACAAUCACCCAAAAGUCUACCACUUAUUUCCACCACACCUUGUUCUAUUUUGAUAUCAAGUAAUUUAUGUUCAGACUCAUUCAUAGGACAAUUCUUUCGGUUCGACGCAGAUCCGUUUUUGUGAUGGAUAUUUUGUUCUCGGAAGUCAAUAUUAACUGGAGCAGAUUGAUCGUGAAAGAUCGCAAUUCAAGAUGAAGGAGCUCAAAUGUUAUCGUAUAGUCUUUUAUGACAGUUUAAUACUUUUCAGUUGUAAAUAGACCACCUAGUAAUCAAGUUGUAAUAGUUUAAGUUUUGUAAGCCUUAGCACUUGACAAUGUGGUCAAGUGUGGCGGUGAUGCCUCCGAUUUAGGUGUAAGCUUCCGCAAAUUUAUUAUAAAGUCUUUUAUAUUCUUAUU